rnacentral:lncRNA from 1 species
GGCUCGCCAGCGCAGGAGCAUCCCGGGACCGCGCAGCACUCCGCGUGCGGAGCAUCUGAGAACCGUGUUGAGUUCACAGGACCGCGACAUAAACAUUGAGAGCCUGGGGAGGAAACGAAGGGGAUCUAGCAUUCCUUUUAAAAACCUCAAACAUGGGAAAGUCUCUUUCUCAUUUACCUUUGCAUUCCAAUAAAGAAGAUGGCUAUGAUGGGGUCACAUCAACAGACAAUAUGAGGAAUGGAUUGGUUAGCAGUGAGGUGCGUAACGAAGACGGAAGAAGUGGAGACGUCUCUCAGUUUCCAUACGUGGAGUUUACUGGAAGAGAUAGUGUCACUUGUCCCACUUGUCAAGGGACAGGAAGAAUCCCUAGGGGUACGUGCUACUGUGUUGUCUGACCUCUUAAAGAGGGGUUCCAAACGUCUGAUUAAAGGAUGCAAAAAACUACAGUCCUGGGCUCUCCUACUUUCACAGAUUCAGAGUUAAAAUUUACCAGUUUAGUCAAAAACACAGAAGCAAACCGUUGUUAUCAUUCCUAAAGCGGUAAUAGAAAUGACUUCAGCAC